GGGGCUGUGGCUCAGUGAAAGAGCAUCUGCUUGGCAUGGAGAAGGCCCCAGGUUCAAUCCCUGGCAUCUCCA
rnacentral:tRNA from 1 species